rnacentral:lncRNA from 1 species
CUCUGUCUUAUCUCCGAGUUGGGUGGUGAACUGUGGAAACACUGUAUUGAUUUGCUCUUCACUCUUCAAUGCUUUGCAGUCUUCUUGCGAAGGGAAUUUAAAAUAUCUCCGACAACUCUGGUAGAUGACUGGCUAUUUCUAGGGAAAUGCAGGGGGUCUGAUGGCAGUUUUCCUUUUCCUUCUGUUUUGACUACAUCUUUGGAACGGGAACACGCUGACGGCUGUCUGGGACUCCUUUCCCUAGGAACUCCUGCAGUGGCUGUCUCAAGGUCACUCGGAAUGCAGUUUUGCCUCUCUCUGCUGAGGUGCCCAUUAGCACCCUGCAUUGACAACUAGUCACGCCCCGAGUCUCCAGGCCAAUUUGCCUCCCCCACUCUGGGUUGCUGGGCAACAGGAAGGAAGCCUUGUACAGGGCUACAUCUUUCAUAGACAGCAAAGGGAGAACUUUUAGCUGCAUCCUGGGAAGGAGAAAGGAAGUGACAUGGCACUCAGAAUUGGGAUCUUCCAGCUGGGUCAACUCAUUCCACAAGACUGCAGAUCUCUCUUGCCAGUGCAAACACUGUCCCUUCUCAGACCUGGGGGUCGACCUUUGCAGAGGCGGGAAGCAAGUGAUGGAAUGCCUGAAAGAAGCCAAACUGCCUUCCGGGUCACAGCCUAGUUUGAAGUCUUGACUCUCUGCCCUUUGCUUUGCGUUAAAUUGUGGGUUGCACCACAGCACAAGUUGCUAGUUAUAAGUUAGAGUCCCAAGUUAAUUCAUUAAAAGAAUAAAUUAGGGAGACUUGUAUGAUCACUCACAUUCCCUUGUAUUUUGAUAGCUUCCUUGAAGGUAAAAGAAGAGUUAGGCUUACCUAGGUCAGCGGCUUUGCAUAUGCACGGUAUCUUAUUUCUCACAUAUUCCAUAGGCUCAUAAGUAGUUACAUCCACAAAUGUCAGAAAAACUGAUGGCUUGGCAGCAAUUAGCAAAUUAUGAUCACCUGCUACCUCUACCACUUGCUUAAAAUGAGCAGGGGAGCAUAUGGAAAAUGCAGACUCCUGGGCCCCAACUCCAAAAUACUAAGGGUGGAAUCCUGAAAUUUACAUUUUAAAUAAAUGUCCUCUUCCUAUAGCUAUCACUCUUUUCCUUCAAAGCACAGCAGAAAACAUUUCUCUUUUAUAAAGGAUUAAAUAUGUUUGAGUCUUUUUAUGUCCUCUUAAUCCAUUUUCUUUCACUGCCUCCAGCAGUGAAAACAGACAUAACUUUUUCAGUUCUUUGCAGAUAGUUUAAA